GGAGAGGGGCCGCGGCCGCCCCGGAGCUCCCCGAGCCCAUCCGGGGGAGCCGGGGAGGAGAGGAGCAGCACCGGCAGCGGCAGAGCUUGCGGGCUCCUCUUGCAUCUCCCAGGCACUGCAGAGGCUGCACAUCCUUUGGGAGGAGGAGCAGGGACAAAACAUGGCUGGAAAACAGCAAAAGCAGGACCCACACAAUCUGUCCCCACCCAGAGCCAUGCGCCCUGCAGAGAGAUGCCUUGCUCAGGGAGCAGACCAGGCAGUUGCCUACCUGAGGAGGCUGGCAGUAUCUAAGAGAAAAACAGGGAAAAGCAUCGCUGUGCACUGCUCGUGUGUAUCUAUGGUUACAGGAGCCUGUGCCAGAGCAUGGAAGAUGUUUCCAGGGAAAUCAGACACGGUGGUGUCAACAGGGACUGCAGGAGCUCAUCCUCCAUCGGGGUAGGGUUUGGAUGCUCAGAGCAGACCCACACAGCAACCGACAGGGACAAAAAUAAAUGCCUGCCAUUUGGAGGAGAAACCAUCCCACACACAGAGGGUGAGGUGGGCUUGGCAGGGAAACACAAGCACCACCUGCUGCUGCAAACGCUUGGCACGUGUCCCCAAGGAGAUCUAAGCAUGUGCCGAAGAGCUUCUCUUGUCCGGGCAGUUAUUGCACGGUUAUUGCAGUUAUUGCGCAGUUAUUGCAGUUAUUGCACAGUUGUUGCAGUUAUUGCACAGUUGUUGCAGUUAUCGCACGGUUAUUGCAGUUAUUGCACAGUUACAGACCUCCUACAAUUAGAGCUUAUCAGGCAGUUUUAAUCUAGCAUUGCAUCCUUUCCAAAAGAAAUUAGUUAUUGAGAAAGUUGUUUUUUUAAAAAUCCUAUAUUUUCAAUAUAUUUUAAGAAAACGGUUUCAUUAAGUUUUUGCUGCAUUUGCUUUUUAAAAAUUGCGAUUUUUGUGCUGUUAUUCUCUUUUGAAAUAUAUGUAAAUCUCAUCAAACAGCUUCAGUUAGCUUCCAGUUAGUAGUAGUGCAGCAGCAGAAUGAAAAUGAAUGAAAACCAUUCUAGAAAACACCUCAAUUGAAAGCAUGUAAGGGAAAUACAAGAUUUAGAUCAAGGAUAAUAAUAGAACUAAUUUAUUCACCUAUUAACCUGUAGCCAUUUCUCAAUUAAAAGUUAUUUGAGAACCAGCAGUACAAAACUGCAUGAAAUCACGGUGGUUUUUAAGAGGUAAUGCAGAUAUGCUGAAUCCUGUCUCCCUGGGAGAUUUUCAGGCCUCUUCCAGCCCUCACCUCUUCUCCUUCAGCCUGGGACAGCUUUGAAGGUUUUUCUAAAGCUUAUCUGCGAGCUUUUGGGGGCCUUGUCACUGACAGAUGGUUUAACAUGGUUUAACACCUUUAAAAUUCCCUUGUGCAGGGGGAGCAGCCUCCCUGUAACCAUGGAGCACAGCCACGUGUGAGACAUGUUCUGCCUUCAACUCUUCCCCUUCCCUGAUGCUGCAUUUCAGAAGGAACUUUUUAACGUGGUGUUUCCCCUCCAUGCUCUUUGGCAUCAGGAAAGUGUUUUCAAAUCAUUUGCCUCAAAGAAGCUACGUGUUUUUUCCCCGUACCGUGUGGGCAUAGUUACAGUCAGAAGAAUCCACAAAUUUCUCAGUAACUCAUUCUUCCAGCGAGCUCGGAUAACCCUGCUGCUGUUCUCUUCUGCAGCACUCCAGGAGAACUCGCAGCACUUUUAGCUGAUCUACUAAAGGAGAAGAAUCAUUCUGGAGUGAUUUGCUGCUAAAAUGAGGCUUCAACAGAUGACAUGAGCAUCUUGAGAGAAAGCACAGCACAGAACCCUUCUGCUCCACGGACCUGGGAAAGGCAGGUGCAUUUCAGAGAUGAAAUACACUUAAUUUAAAAAAAACUGCCACCUCUAAGGAACUUUUCUUAAACAAAGUUUCUUGGCACAGCUCUUUCCUUGUAGCUGCAAUUUGACAGUGAACACAUUGUAUGUCCUGAAAAAAAUACAAUCCCUGUGGCAGAAAGACCAGAGAGGAAAAAUUCAUCUCGCAGCAUGGGCUGCAUGCCUGAUAUAUGCUGUUUUGGUGAGGAAUGGCGCACCAAAGUGCACCUAGAAAGCUACUUGUGAUGUGUUCAAGAUCUAUCCUAAUCAUCACAUUUAAUCAAAAUCAAGCAAAAAAAAAUUGGAAAGGCCUGGAACAAAAUCCCUGGUAAGAAGACUAAACACCAACUGCCCAAACUCAAACACAAUGGGACUAAUUAAGACAGCAGAGCAAAGCCCCGCAUUUGAAGGUAACAAACUGAGAGCAUGCGGUACGGGAAGGUCUGAGAUUUCCAACCCAUCCCAUCUUCCCCCAGGCUCUCAGGAACACCACAACAUACAAACAGUGUUGUGGUAUUUAAUGCCAGAAGGGACAAUGGGAUCAUCCAGCCUGAGCUCCCAUAUUGUUUGGGCCAUAUACCUACAUGUCUGGUCGAGAUGUGUGUUGCUGAAAGUCAUCUAGUUCAGACCUGAAGACCUCUUUAGCAGGACGUACCACCAUUUCCCAAGGACUUUGUGCUUUAAUUUAACCAUCUUCACUGUUAAAAUCUGAGCCUUUGCUCUAGACGAUACAACAACCUGUGUGAAUUUUUCCUUCCCUCCUGAAUCUGAGCUGAGACCGAGCACUAUUGUAAAAUCCUGAUAGAUUCACUCCAGAAGGAAUGCAGAAUUGCUUCGGGCCAAGCUGAACCUGAACAGUGUCGAGGACAGCUGAGCUUAGACUGGAAUUUAUUCAGUCCUUGUUGAAUCCAAACCAGGGAGAAGUCAGAUCGUCCUCUCCCACACCGGGGAGAUGUACGAACUAAGUUUUCUCACCAUUUUUCAGCAUCGUCUGUAAGAGGUGCCCAUCCUAGCUGCGUGCAGAGUGCCAUGGUCUUCUCACACAAGCAGCUGGAGACCGAUUCCUUCCUGGCCCCGCUCCCAGCACCUCCAGGAAUCGCAGCCCUUCCAGCAAAGCUGCCAGCUCACUCUGAGUUCUGUCUCCAUCUGCCCACACUCAGCCUCCUCCCGCCACCUCUUACGAGCUUACUGUGACUGAGAAGGCCUCGCAGGCUCCUGAAGGUCUCCCGCAGGCUGAGAACGACUGCAGAAGAAAGGAUGUUCCUCGCCACGGUAGGCCAGGGCUCAAGGUGCUGCAGAAGAACCACGAGGGAGAGAAAGGGGGAUCAUUUGUAGGGCCUGUAAGCAGCAGAGACAGGACCAGGCAGGAGGCAUCUCAGAAAUGUAGGUGGUGAGUUACCCCCAUGUGCAGCCAGGCUAGCUGGCACCAUGCCCCUGGGUGGAUGCAGCAGUGCCCAAGGGCAGCCAGGACACCAGUUUGCAAUUACUGUCGGUCUGUGAAGCCCACGCAGGGAGUAUUUGCCUAGGGACAGGCAGAAAUCCCAUGUCUCUGAGCCCACCUUGGCACAAUGAGCCUCACAGAGUGACCACAGCUUUCCAAGGAGCCACAUCCCCAUCGGAUCCUCCCUUUCGGCAAAAGGCUGCUUUGGGCCACAGCAGCUUGGAGCUUUCUGCCUCCGUCUCUGAUCUCCAAAACCUCCAGAUGACCCGAGCAGCAGAGAGGGCCACAGUCAAAUCCCCCAAGCCACUGUCAAAUCCACAAAACGGCCCCAAUCCCAAAAGGUCAGCCCGCUGGGUCCUGGUGGUAGGAUGCCUCGAGCCGCCUCCUGCACUGUAACCACAGGACCCACUGGCAGAAGCCACCACGAGUAACGUGGAACCCCACUGCCUCCUUCACAGCUGCUCACGGAUGACUUUCUGCAGCUGCUGGGUGCUGCAGACCCUGACGGCCGCGUGCCCAGGACCAGGAGCCCCAAAGGGCAGAGCAGGCUCUGCUCCAGCCACCCCCAGCGCUGGUUUAGUGCCCAGCAGGGAUCGCUGCUGCGUGGGCUAUGAGCUCCAAAAGGCGCGUGUUAAAUCCAGGGGCUGGCUCCUGGGAUCUGUCUGCCCUGAUCUGGCAUCUCCUGGGGAAACCAGGAUGCUCAGGAGGGGUGCAAGGGCCUGCUCCUUUCCUGUCCAGGAGAAGGCAAUGGACUAAAACAGGAAAAAUGAGAGAGAAAUGAACAUCAGCUGCUCAGUCUUACAACAGCUCUUAGAAAAAGAGGAAGCAUGGGGAACCCAGGCAGGUCCCCAUUAAGCUGAUGCCCUGCCACGGUCGAUCCACGGUCGAUCGACGGGUCCCAGCAAGAUCCCAACAGCCAGUGAAUUCCUGCAUCGUGGAGGGGCCAGGGGACAGAAAAAGGAUGUGUCCUUAUCCCUGGGUCACACGCAGAGGCCAGAGCCAGGUGGGACCCGUGUGGGACCCUCCUGGGGGAGGCAGGCCCUGCUCAGGCCUUACCAGUGUGAGACAGUCCUGCCUCCCCCUGAAACGCUCGGGGAAAGUUAUAAAUUGCUUUUCCUCUGCUCUUCCCCAACUGUGAUUAUUGACCGUGGUCAGGCCGGUGGCUCAGAGCUUGCUAAUGAAUUGUAAUUGGAACGAAGCUGCACUUUGACACGUUUUAUUUUAUUUAUGUCAGAACUCGCCAUGCGUUAAGCUGGGGGCUCAUUAAAUUAGCGAGGCAGACAGUUCCUGCCAGGAUGGCCUGAGCUAAUGGUGCUGGACAGACUUCAGCUGGGGACUGGCAGCAGGCAUAGGAGAGAUGGGGCCUGCAGAGAGCCCUGGUGCUGCUCAGCCCCCCACCUAGACAGAGGGUCCAAGCCUGGCAUGCCAAUACCUCUCUGAGCAAUAAAUUACGAAUUUAUCCUUCUCUGGACAAUAAAUUACAAAUUUAUCCUUCUCCGGGCAGCCCUGAGCCGUGCAGCUGCUCAGCUAUAUCUGCACCCAGCCUGCUCUCAGUCCCAACCCACCUCCCCAGGGAUGUGCCCCCCUUCUUGCUGUAGGGUGAGCACGUCGCCUGGCACCGCACUGGGCUCCUGCCCUGUCUGAGCCCUCUUCUGUGCCUGGCUAACCACAGAGGAUCUGUUUUGCCUCUCCUUCACCUCCUGCUGGCACUGCAGUGCCCUCUGGCCUCCAGACAGUCUCCAGGUCCAGACAGAACCUGAAUUUAUAAUAAUUGUGAAAGGCAAACAGAACGGAGAAAAAUCGUCCCCCAGCCAGCCUGCUGUCUCCCCGCAUUGGCUUUUGGCCUGCUGCUGCUUUCACUCAGACCUCUCGGGCCGGUCUUCUCUUUCUCUGGAAAGUUCCCCUAUUCCUGUGUCUGCUCCCUUCUACAUUUUUUUUUUUUGCUCAGCUUUCUGCCAUAUUUAUGGGCAGAAUCCCAUGGCUUACCUUCAGGGGGGUGUGAGUAGGAAGUCAGAUGGCUCUUCCUUGACGUUGUUAUGGUGUUGUGUUAUGUUAGCAGAUGUUGAUCGUGAUAAAAUGAUUUGUGUGGAACAGAGACAGUGCUGCUUGGGUGGGCUGAGUCCAUCCUGCACCCCUAAGGACAGCAGUCCAGUCCUUCGCCCCCUGCUCUCCCUGCAGGACCCCCAGUGUUGCCUUGCAGGUCCCUCCGUCCCAAUCCUGGCGUUCCCCAUCACACCCAUGGUGUUCCACAUGGUUACAGCUCUGUAGUUGCCACCAUCUGCUCAGGACCAGCUGGAAAAUGCCAAAUUUCUGUCCCUACCUAGGCUUCCUGCAGUGCUGGGAAUGGAUCUCUCUUUCUAGGGGCGCUCGGAGUGCAAUGGGUGGGACAAAGGCCACGCUGCCCUGCCUUAUUGAUUACCUGUGUGCCCCCAAACUCCAUUCUCAGGAAAACCUGAGAAGAGAAAAAAAAAAAAAGAGCGUGUGAUCUGCUGUGAUGAGAAACGUUUAUACAUUUAUCGUCUAACCGUUGGAAAGGGGUGGUGAGAGGGCGUCUGACCGCAGGUCUCCGUGCUGCACCCAAGGGUGGCAACCAAAGGGCACCAAACUCAGUGCUUCUGGCCCCCUUUGCAGAGUGGGACUGGGAACCCGUGGGGCCCUGGGGGUGCACGACUGCUGCACCCAGCUGGAGGUCAUCCGGGCUGCAAAGAGCCUUGCUCACAACUUCGUGGUACAAAAAGGGAGAUGCUGGCUGGCCAGGGCUAUUCUGUGAUGCCAGCCCGGUGCCUGGCUUGUCAGGGCAUCAGGGCACGGAGCCUCCCCGUGAACAACGCUGCUGGGGAGGCCGGGGCCACUUUGCACGCCUCUUUGGCAAAGAAAGUGGCUCCGUGCGUGGUGAGAAGGAAUCCUUCACGGGCUGUGCCCCCUCAGGGUCCCAGGACCUUUCCUGCUCUGGGACCAUCCUGUGCUCGCUCAGAGGGAGACUGCUCUGCAUAAGGAGCUGGGAAGUGAGGUUUGGGAACACAGUCUCAUCCAUCACUGACAUGUCUUCCUGCAGCAGAGAACCACCCUGUCUGGAAGGCCUCGUUAGCAUUCAAAUGAGGUGCUGCUAAGCAUAGCCGAGGCUUCCCACUGCAGCAGGUCACAACCACUCAUUCACCUGUAACAACCACAAAACCCCAGGAUGCUCAAUCCCCUCUAACACCACCUUCCCCCCAUACACACCGGCACAGAGUACGGUGUGGGUAACCCCAGGGUGCUGGUGCCCACUGGCCAUGGAGGCCCUUGGAGCGUGCUGUGCGCUGCCCGUGGGGCACAUCUCAUACCCUAAUCAUGGACAAGUACACCCCUAGUGCUAUCAUUACCGUGAGGGCAAAAAUGCAUAGAGGGUGACAUCGUGGCCAUCCUGAAAGCCACGGCAGGAUAGUCAUGUAUGUCCUGCUCCUGAAAUGAUCCCAAGGAAGGGAGGGGGUGAGAAACAGCCAUGGACAGGUUGAGAGCUUGUGGGUGUGAGUUAAAGACCACACCAAUAUAGGACAAAUUGUGGUUGGGGUCUGUUAUAGGCACCCAACCAAGGGGAGCCUGUGGAUGAGGCCUUCUGGCUCCAUCUACCAGAAGCAUCGUGCUCACAUGCUCUCAUCCUCCUGGGGGAUUUCAACCACCCAGAUAUUUGCUUGGAAAGCCACGUGGCAGGCAGUAAGCAGUCCAGGAAACUCCUGGAGUCCAUCAAGGACAACUUCCUCAUCCAAGUAUUAGACAAACCAAGCAGAGGAGAAGCGUUACUGGACCUGGUGCUCACCAACGCAGAAGAGCUCAUUA